AACGAACGCUGGCGGCAUGCCUAACACAUGCAAGUCGAACGAGACCUUCGGGUCUAGUGGCGCACGGGUGCGUAACGCGUGGGAACCUGCCCUUAGGUUCGGAAUAACUCCCCGAAAGGGGUGCUAAUACCGGAUAAUGUCUUCGGACCAAAGAUUUAUCGCCUUUGGAUGGGCCCGCGUUGGAUUAGCUAGUUGGUAGGGUAAAAGCCUACCAAGGCGCCGAUCCAUAGCUGGUCUGAGAGGAUGAUCAGCCACACUGGGACUGAGACACGGCCCAGAAUCCUACGGGAGGCAGCAGUGGGGAAUAUUGGACAAUGGGCGAAAGCCUGAUCCAGCAAUGCCGCGUGAGUGAUGAAGGCCUGAGGGUUGUAAAGCUCUUUUACCCGGGAUGAUAAUGACAGUACCGGGAGAAUAAGCUCCGGCUAACUCCGUG
rnacentral:rRNA from 1 species